rnacentral:lncRNA from 1 species
GGGGGUGGGGGGUGGGGGUGGGGGGUAUCGGGGAAACUGGGGAAGAUGGGAGAGCUGGAGGAGAGUCGUGGGGUCCGAGGAGCACCUCGGCAUCUGGAGUCUGGCAGGAAUGUUGAAGGACUGAGGGGCUAGCUCAGGCAGAGCAAAGGCAUCGCAAAGGCUGGAAAACAUCGGAGUGAAGCUGAAGGGCCUGAGCUAGGGUUGGAGAGGAAUGGGGAGCCAGACAUUCAUCCCGGUUACUUUUGGUUACAGGACGUGGCGGCUGGUCGGAUAAAGGGGAGCUGCUGGGAAGGGUUCGACCCCAGACCUGGGCAGUGAAGGUAUAGCUGGCAGCAGUGGGCAGGUGAGGACCGCCGUCUGCUGGGCAGGUGAGUCUCCUUCUUCUCUCUUGGCCUCGCUCCACUGACCUUCUAAACGAAGGUUUAGAGAGGGGGCCUGGUGAGAAGAAGCGGCUGGCCUCGCAGCAGAAUGGCACAUAGAAAGGCAGGAUAGUUAGCAAAGGAGACAUCGUCUCGGGGGGAGCCGAGACAGAAGGAGGCUGGGGGACCAUUGGCGACCCCAGGUGGAAAGAGCUCUUAGAGAGAAGAAAGAAGAGGUGCAGGGUUGCCAGUAAAGACUGAGGCCGCUGCCUCCAGGGAGGUGAUAGGAGUCCUUGGAGACAGUGGCAGAGACCAUGGGAUCCAGCAAGAACAGAAGCAUUCUAGGCUGGGGUCAAACAGGGCAAGAUGGGGUCACAAGACACAGAUGGGUCCCCAGCCGCCACAACAUCCCACCCACCGUAAUUCACUUAGAAGAAGGUUCAAGAGUGGCUCUGGCAAAGUCCCAAGUUUGCCAGAGCCUCAAUAACUGGAGAAUGGAAAAGAAGGGCAGUGCAGGGUGUCACCAGAAGGGGAGUGGGGGCUGCAGGUAUCGGACUCCAGAGGGAUUUUACAGCAAGGAGGCUGCAGUGGGUCCAGCCUGCAGACACACCAUUCCCAUGAGGCACUGCGGCCCAGGGACUGGUGCGGAAAGGGCCCACAGUGGACUUGGUACACUGUAUGCCCUAACCGCUCAGUCCCUGGGUCUGGCAUGACAGACAGAACAUUUCCAGGGGAGUCAAGGGCACAGGAUGAAGCCAGACGAGGCGAGGCAGGCGGGGCAGAAUGAAUGAGUUUCUAGGGAGGGAGGUUGGGUGCAGGUAGAGCGAGUAGCUGGGGUGGUGAGCCAGGGAGGCACUGGCCUCCAGAGUCCGUGGCCAAGGAGGGCCUUGCGGGCGGCGACGGAGCAGUGAUCGGUGUCUCGAAGAGCUCGGACUGGAGACUAGGGUAAGUGUCUGUCCCGCUCGUGGUCACCCAGUCUCCUCCCACGCAAGUUCAAUUAACUCAUGUCUUCAUUUCUCCCUAUAGCCAGGUCUCCAGCAGAGGUGGAUGUGCCUGCCAGUCACUGAAGGCGAGGAUGACAGGUGUGGUCAAUGUGACAGAAAGACAUGACAUGGUCCGGUGUGAUGGAGAGGACAGAAGGGCAGUCAUCCAGCCUUCUUGAACACCAUGGGCUGGCGCCUUGUCGUAGAAGCCGUCUGUUCUUUCACUUUUCCCAAAGAGCUAACACUUCUCUGCUGCUCUCUGGAUCCUCCUCCCCCUACCUUGAACCCUCAAGAUGAAAGAAAUGGUGCUACCCAGCUCAUGUCUGGGCCUUUGAAUCCGGGGACUUCUUUAAGUCCGUCUCGUUCUGAAUCAAGAAGAUGCUGCAAUCAGAACCACUACACUACCUGCCUCAGGAAUCUGCUCCAAGGUGAAGCUGAAAGAACAGAUGGUGUCAACAUUUUGAAAGAGCAGACUCAUAGCACCCACCCACCCCUGAGAAUCCAUCUUCAUGGCCAACUCUGCCUGACCCGGGAGACCACCACCCACAUCAUCCUGGAGCCAAGCCUCUACCCCGGGAUGACUUCAUCAUCUCCCUCCUGUCUUUUUCUUCUUCCUCCUUUCCUGUAAUUCUGUUUCUUUCCUUUUGUUCCUUCCUUGCUUGAGAGACUCAAAGCACCCGUGACUCUGUUUCCCCAUUUACCCCCUUUUGAAUUUGCACUAAGUCGAUUGCACUGGUUUGGAGUCCCGGAGAUAGCUUUGAGUCUCUCCGUAUGAAUGUAUACAGCGAGUGUGUAAACCUCUUUGGCAAUGCUGCCCCAGUACCCACCUGUCGUCCAUCUCCGUCUGAGGGCAACUGGGUGUGGCCGUGUGCUUGAGGCCUCGCCUUCCCCUCGCCUAGUCUGGAAGCAGUUCCAUCAUAAAGUGUUCAACAUGCCCUACUUCAUCCUUUGCCCCUCCUCACCAGGGCCUCACCAGAGGUCCUGGGUCCAUCAAUAAAUACAGUUACAGUCA